rnacentral:tRNA from 1 species
GGCCCUUUAGCUCAGUGGUUAGAGCUGGCGACUCAUAAUCGAUUGGUCACUGGUUCAAGUCCAGUAGGGGCCACCA